rnacentral:rRNA from 1 species
GAUACUGGCGGACGGGUGAGUAACACGUGGGUAACCUGCCUGUAAGACUGGGAUAACUCCGGGAACCGGGGCUAAUACCGGAUGCUUGUUUGAACCGCAUGGUUCAAACAUAAAAAGGUGGCUUCGGCUACCACUUACAGAUGGACCCGCGGCGCAUUAGCUAGUUGGUGAGGUAAUGGCUCACCAAGGCAACGAUGCGUAGCCGACCUGAGAGGGUGAUCGGCCACACUGGGACUGAGACACGGCCCAGACUCCUACGGGAGGCAGCAGUAGGGAAUCUUCCGCAAUGGACGAAAGUCUGACGGAGCAACGCCGCGUGAGUGAUGAAGGUUUUCGGAUCGUAAAACUCUGUUGUUAGGGAAGAACAAGUACCGUUCGAAUAGGGGCGAUACCUUGACGGGUACCUAACCAGAAAAGCCACGGCUAACUAACGUGCCAGCAGCCGCUGGUAAUAC